AUCUGGCUCCUCUGGAGUCCGAAUUGUAAUUUGUAGAAGAUGCUUUGGGUUGUGGGUUCGGCCUAAGUUCCUUGGAACAGGACGUCAUAGAGGGUGAGAAUCCCGUAUGUGGCCGAGGCCCGCGCCUAUGUAAAGCUCUUUCAACGAGUCGAGUUGUUUGGGAAUGCAGCUCAAAAUGGGUGGUAAAUUUCAUCUAAAGCUAAAUAUGGGCCAGAGACCGAUAGCGCACAAGUAGAGUGAUCGAAAGAUGAAAAGCACUUUGGAAAGAGAGUUAAACAGUACGUGAAAUUGUUGAAAGGGAAGCGCUUGCACCCAGACUUGGGCGCUGCCGAUCACCUUGAGGUCUCCUCGAGUGCACUCGACAGCGCACAGGCCAGCAUCGGUUCGGGUGGCUGGAUAAAGGCCGUAGGAACGUAGCUCUCUUCGGGGAGUGUUAUAGCCUACGGUGCCAUGCAGCCCAGCCGGACCGAGGACCGCGCCUUCGGGCUAGGAUGCUGGCGU
rnacentral:rRNA from 1 species